rnacentral:lncRNA from 1 species
GAGUAUACAAUGGAGAAGUAAUUUAAUCUACUUCUAACCUAAACUAAUACGAUACCUAAUACUCCCUUCUCUUUAAAACAAGAGACCUAUUUAUAGAGAAUAACUUUGAACUCUAAUUUAGAUUCAUUGAAUUUGGACACUUUUAUUCCUUUUUCUAUGUAGGUUUCAACUUCCUAGUGACAAUUAACUUUUUAAAGAGAUCUUCUAGAUAGACUUUCCUUUCUCUUGUUGGAUUUGACUUGCACACCAAGAUUGUUCCACCUCUUUCCUUCUCCUUGUAGGAUUCUUCUUCGAUAUUCCUCACAUGAAUAAGAGCAUUAAAUAUCGCUUGAUCACCAAGAUUUUGAC